GACUGUCCGUCCACUUGUCUGUCUAUCUUCAUCAGCUCCAAUGCAAAGUGCUCCCAAGAGUGAGGUGUUACUCCCUUGUGACGCCUCGGGGCUCGAUGACAUCACCUGGACCUUCAACCACAACCAGACCAUCCUCAGAAGACAAGCAGGACAAGAGAAGGUGGUGGAAACAGAGUGGCAGCAGCAUGUAAGAGACCUGUCUGAAUCAGGCAGCCUCCUGCUGUAUGUGACCUCAUCAGCCCAGAGUGAAGGGGCGUACAGGUGUACUCUCAGGUACGCAGACGAGGAAGACGUAACCCACAUUGAACUGAAGAUACUGGAGGACCCUGUUGCAGAGGGUUCUCAUCUCUCACUUCCGAUGUUACAAAUACUUAUUGUUUUCCUUAUAAUCUCCGUUCUCAUCCUCUGGUUAUCUUAUCAAAGAUUGGUCGAGCAACCACGUGAACGUUUUUUUACAACUGGAUAUCUAUUCCAAUUUUUCUUUUUUGGUUUCAUUUUUAUUGUUUUCUUGUUAUUUUGUUGUUGUAAUGCACAACUUAUUGCUUCUCUUAUUUAGAGUAAUUGGUUUAAGAACGUUGUGUGGUUAUUUCUGGGUCAUUUAUGAGUGAUGUCGGACUGUGUCGUUUUAUAAAUAUGAUUGGUAUGAAGCUAAUAUUAAAGGUUGCAUCAGCGA